rnacentral:rRNA from 1 species
AUUGAACGCUGGCGGCAUGCCUUACACAUGCAAGUCGAACGGUAACAGGUCUUCGGAUGCUGACGAGUGGCGAACGGGUGAGUAAUACAUCGGAACGUGCCUAGUAGUGGGGGUUAACUACUCGAAAGAGUGGCUAAUACCGCAUGAGAUCUACGGAUGAAAGCAGGGGAUCGCAAGACCUUGUGCUACUAGAGCGGCCGAUGGCCGAGUAGGUAGUUGGUGGGAUAAAAGCUUACCAAGCCGACGAGCUGUAGUUGGUCUGAGAGGACGAUCAUCCGCAAUGGGACUGAGACACGGCCCAGACUCCUACGGGAGGCAGCAGUGGGGAAUUUCGGACAAUUGGCGCAAGCCUGAGCCAGCAAUGCCGCGUGCAGGAUGAAGGCCUUCGGGUUGUAAACUGCUUUUGUACGGAACGAAAAGCCCUGGGUUAAUACCCUGGGGUCAUGACGGUACCGUAAGAAUAAGCACCGGCUAACUACGUGCCAGCCGCCGCCGUAAGAC